AUUUAAAUAGCUUAUAAAGAGCAUAAUACUGAAGAUAUUAAGGAAAUAAUUUUUAUUUUUAAAUA
rnacentral:tRNA from 1 species